rnacentral:rRNA from 1 species
AUGAACGCUGGCGGCGUGCCUAAUACAUGCAAGUCGAGCGAACGGACGAGAAGCUUGCUUUUCUGAUGUUAGCGGCGGACGGGUGAGUAACACGUUGAUAACCUACCUAUAAGACUGGGAUAACUUCGGGAAACCGGAGCUAAUACCGGAUAAUAUUUUGAACCGCAUGGUUCAAAAGUGAAAGACGGUCUUGCUGUCACUUAUAUAUGGAUCCGCGCUGCAUUAGCUAGUUGGUAAGGUAACGGCUUACCAAGGCAACGAUGCAUAGCCGACCUGAGAGGGUGAUCGGCCACACUGGAACUGAGACACGGUCCAGACUCCUACGGGAGGCAGCAGUAGGGAAUCUUCCGCAAUGGGCGAAAGCCUGACGGAGCAACGCCGCGUGAGUGAUGAAGGUCUUCGGAUCGUAAAACUCUGUUAUUAGGGAAGAACAUAUGUGUAAGUAACUGUGCACAUCUUGACGGUACCUAAUCAGAAAGCCACGGCUAACUACGUG